rnacentral:lncRNA from 10 species
AUGAUGGAGAAUUGAGAAACAAGACCAUCUGCAUCAACAGGAAUUUGAACUUUCCUACAGACCAAUUUAUUGGACAUAAUCUGGUGACCUGGGCAUCUGGUGACCUGGGAGAACUGCUCACUUAUCAAACAAGGGCUUAUUUUUUAAGAUUUGCUUCAAGACCCUCACUGUGCUAUGUCUACUAAUCCUAAAUGAAUAUACCAAAAACUUUUAUCCAAUCCUAAUCAGUUCCCUGUCUUGAAAGACCUACCUUAAAUCACCUGGGUUCAGACCUCACCAUCUUAUAACAAUCUCAGUGCUGAUAGCCUUCUUUUGAGAUACUGCUAAAACUUUCUCAAGAUGGUG